CACGCCGUAAACGAUGAGUACUAGGUGUCGGAAGAAUUCGGCGCCGUAGCUAACGUAUUAAGUACUCCGCCUGAGUAGUACGUGCGCAAGCAUGAAACUCAAAGGAAUUGACGGGACCCCGCACAAGCGGUGGAUCAUGUUGUUUAAUUCGUGGAUACGCGAAGAACCUUACCAGGCCUUGACAUACUUUGCAAAGCUAUAGAGAUAUAGUGGAGGUUAACAGAGAUACAGGUGG
rnacentral:rRNA from 1 species